rnacentral:tRNA from 8 species
GGCUCAGUAGCUCAGCUGGUUAGAGUGCCGGCCUGUCACGCCGGAGGUCAAGGGUUCGAUCCCCUCCUGAGUCGCCA